rnacentral:rRNA from 1 species
AGUGAACGCUGGCGGUAGGCCUAACACAUGCAAGUCGAACGGCAGCACAGUAAGAGCUUGCUCUUACGGGUGGCGAGUGGCGGACGGGUGAGGAAUACAUCGGAAUCUACUUUUUCGUGGGGGAUAACGUAGGGAAACUUACGCUAAUACCGCAUACGACCUACGGGUGAAAGCAGGGGAUCUUCGGACCUUGCGCGAUUGAAUGAGCCGAUGUCGGAUUAGCUAGUUGGCGGGGUAAAGGCCCACCAAGGCGACGAUCCGUAGCUGGUCUGAGAGGAUGAUCAGCCACACUGGAACUGAGCCACGUUCCAGACUACUACGGGAGGCAGCAGUGGGGAAUAUUGGACAAUGGGCUCAAGCCUGAUCCAGCCAUACCGCGUGGGUGAAGAAGGCCUUCGGGUUGUAAAGCCCUUUUGUUGGGAAAGAAAAGCAGCAGGUUAAUACCCCGCUGUUCUGACGGUACCCAAAGAAUAAGCACCGGCUAACUUCGUG